AACGAACGCUGGCGGCAUGCUUAACACAUGCCAGUCGAACGGGAAGGCCCCGGUUGGUGUACUCGGGUUGCGAACGGGGGGGUAACACGUGAUUAACCUGCCCUUGACUUCGGGAUAACAUUACGAAACUGGGGCGAAUACCGGAGAGCAAUCCUUGCUGCAUGGAGGGGGUUGGAGAGCUGCGGCGGUUUGGGAUGGAGUCGAGGCUUAUCAGCUUGUUGGUGGGGUAGGUGCUUACCAAGGCUGUGACGGGUAGCCGGCCCGGGGGGGAGACCGGCCACAGCGAGACUGAGAGUGGGACACGACCCCUACGGCUGGCAGAAGCGGGGAAGAUUGAUAAAGGGGCGGACGCCUGAUGCAGCAACGCCGAGGGCGGGAGGACGGCCUUCGGGUUGGAAUCGGAUAUCAGUAGGGGCGAAGCUUGUGGUGACGGUACCUGCAGAAGAAGCACCGGCUAACUCCGUG
rnacentral:rRNA from 1 species